UUGGCGAAGGCCCUUGGCCUUAAAGGGUGUUAUUUCGAACUUAUCGAAAUAGUAACCCGUCGUCGUUCGAUCGAGGUCGAACUCUUCUUUUUUGCGAAGGCCCUUGGCCUUAAAGGGUGUUAUUUCGAACAUAUCGAAAUAGUAAUCCAUCGUCGUUCGAUCGAGGUCGAACUCUUCUUUUUGGCGAAGGCCCUUGGCCUUAAAAUGUGUUAUUUCAAACUUAUCGAAAUAGUAACCUAUUGUCGUUCGAUCGAGGUCGAACUCUUCUUUUUGGCGAAGGCCCCUAGCCUUCAAGGGUGUUAUUUCGUACUUAUCGAAAUAGUGACCCGUCGUCGUACGAUCGAGGUCGAACUCUUCUUUUUGGCGAAGGCCCCUGGCCUUAAAGGGUGUUAUUUCGAACUUAUCGAAAUAGUAACCCGUCGUCGUAUGAUCGAGGUCGAACUCUUCUUUUUGGCGAAGGCCUCUGGCCUUAAAGGGUGUUAUUUCGAACUUAUCGAAAUAGUCACCCGUCGUCGUUCGAUAGAGGUUGAACUCUUCUUUUUGGCGAAGGCCCCUAGCCUUAAAGGGUAUUAUUUCGAACUUAUCGAAAUAGUAACCCAUUGUCGUUCGAUCUAGGUCGAAUUC
rnacentral:lncRNA from 1 species